UGGUUUUUGCAGGGCCAGGGCUGAGCUGAGUCUGAAGGAGCUGUGGCUGCACUAACUCAGCUUCUUGGGUGGCUGCUGCUGCCCUGGCACUGCUCUUCCACCUCCCAGGUGUGGCCCACAGGCUGAGGGGAGGAUGGAUUCUUUCUUGAUUUAUAGUGCUGGAAUCCUGUUAACAUCAGCAGGGCAGCUGCUCCUGUGAAAUGAGCACCACAGGCAAAAGAAAAAGCUCUUGCAAGUAGAAUUAAGCUGCUGACUCAGAAGGAUGCAGGAAGAAUGAAGAACAGCAGAUUUUCCACAGCUUCCUUGCACCUCUCACUGCCAUGAGACCCCUGUGCUCCUUGGGGGCUCCACAGCUGAGUUAGGCUGGGCCAAGCUUUUUCUGCUGGGAUUCUCCUUUCUUGUGGAGUGCUGGCACCUUUUCCACUGGCUGUCUCAGGCAAAUACUUGGGCAUUCCUGUUCUCCCACAAGUGCUUGCCAGGACUGUAGGUCAGACACACCUCCUUAUCUUGUCCCCUGGUGAAACCAGGACCUUGACUGACUCACUGGCUUGCUCACAGAGGUGGAAAUCAG